rnacentral:rRNA from 1 species
AGAGUUUGAUCAUGGCUCAGAUUGAACGCUGGCGGCAGGCCUAACACAUGCAAGUCGAGCGGAUGAGAGGAGCUUGCUCCUGGAUUCAGCGGCGGACGGGUGAGUAAUGCCUAGGAAUCUGCCUGAUAGUGGGGGACAACGUUUCGAAAGGAGCGCUAAUACCGCAUACGUCCUACGGGAGAAAGCAGGGGACCUUCGGGCCUUGCGCUAUCAGAUGAGCCUAGGUCGGAUUAGCUAGUUGGUGAGGUAAUGGCUCACCAAGGCGACGAUCCGUAACUGGUCUGAGAGGAUGAUCAGUCACACUGGAACUGAGACACGGUCCAGACUCCUACGGGAGGCAGCAGUGGGGAAUAUUGGACAAUGGGCGAAAGCCUGAUCCAGCCAUGCCGCGUGUGUGAAGAAGGUCUUCGGAUUGUAAAGCACUUUAAGUUGGGAGGAAGGGUUGUAGAUUAAUACUCUGCAAUUUUGACGUUACCGACAGAAUAAGCACCGGCUAACUCUGUGCCAGCAGCCGCGGUAAUACAGAGGGUGCAAGCGUUAAUCGGAAUUACUGGGCGUAAAGCGCGCGUAGGUGGUUUGUUAAGUUGGAUGUGAAAUCCCCGGGCUCAACCUGGGAACUGCAUCCAAAACUGGCAAGCUAGAGUAUGGUAGAGGGUGGUGGAAUUUCCUGUGUAGCGGUGAAAUGCGUAGAUAUAGGAAGGAACACCAGUGGCGA